rnacentral:lncRNA from 13 species
CGGUCAUUGUUGGCGGCAACGAAAAACUCCGCGGAGUAAUACACAAAUCGUCGAUCCGCGAGGUUUGACUAACAAAAUGCCGCACUGUCGUACAUAAUUAAUUUUUUAAUAAUCGAAAUAUGAGAGGCAUAGUGCGUGACAGGGUAAUAUACUGUACUUGUAUCUUGUAAGAAUACAUAAAAUAAUACGCAAUGACGGGCGCGCAACACUCGACGCUUGUUUCGUUCGCGUCGGUUGGUUAAUUAGCGUUUGCGACAACGAAAAACUCCGUCUGCCUAUAUUUUGUUUUGCGGUACGCCGUCGCGGCGAGUAUCAAGACACUCGAUUAUUCCCUAACGUGGAUCCGUGCGAUUGAAUUAGUUCCGCGUUUGAGAAUCGCAUCGCGAUUGUAAUUAACGGUCUCUUACGCGAGUGUUGUGUUGUGUGAAAAAAGAGGCUGAGGAACCUGAGAGGAGGAGGAGGCUACCCGGGAAGCUUGAGUGACGGCGGAACAACCGUAAGUUCAACGUAGUUCGUGUUUCAACUCCGCUGCUGCACAUCGUAUCGUAUCGCUGCAGCUUCGUGGUUGAAUAACUCCGCUCGUUGCGCAUCGGGUCGGU